rnacentral:tRNA from 14 species
GGUAGCUCAGCUGGAUAGAGCAAUGGCCUUCUAAGCCAUCGGUCGGGGGUUCGAAUCCCUCCC